UACGUAGGGUGCAGGCGUUAAUCGGAAUUACUGGGCGUAAAGCGUGCGUAGGCGGUUUGUUAAGACAGGUGUGAAAUCCCCGGGCUUAACCUGGGAACUGCGCUUGUUACUGGCAGACUGGAGUGUGGCAGAGGGGGGUGGAAUUCCAGGUGUAGCAGUGAAAUGCGUAGAUAUCUGGAGGAACACCGAUGGCGAAGGCAGCCCCCUGGGCUAACACUGACGCUGAUGCACGAAAGCGUGGGGAGCAAACAGG
rnacentral:rRNA from 2 species